AAGGAAUUCUGGAACAUUUCCAGUCAAAUUAUUGUUCUGUAAAUCUAUAUAUUCAAGAGCAUCCAUUGAGCUGAAAUCUGGGAGUGGCCCAGAAAGUAAAUACCCGCUGAGAUUCAAUGCAAUUACUCGAGGCGAAACAUCAGCACUGCAAUUGAGCCAAUCCCAUGCAUCUUUUUUUGGAAGACAGGGGUCACUCUUCCAUUCCCGUAAUAUACUGAAACCUCCUUGCAAGGCAUCUAGCCCCUCCACAUCUGCACUGGAUGUUCUAGUUAGUGGAUCACUGACAAGAAAAAGUUCCAAGGCGUUGAUGGUCGGAGUGACUGUUGAAUUAUCAUUGCUUGUAGGAACUAAAUAAAACCAAGAUGCAUUUGAAGCAGUAAUGUUUGGAAAGCUUAGUUCAGUAACGUUGUUGUAAUAUGGGACAACAGGUUCAGAGGUAAGCAAGAGAUCAUCCUUAAAUACUAGAAAAGACCGCUUUUGGGGAGGAGAGGCUUCUAUUUCUUUAUCCACUACAGCAAAGUACAUGUUCAUGUAUAUGGGAACUUGAACUGUUGGUAGCCGAACGAAUCUAAAGUUCGUUAGAGGAAACAAAACACCAAGCAAAACAGCUUUUGGAGGUUGAUCACUCGUGUCAACAACAAUAGAAUCAUUUUCUCUUUUUACAAAUAUAUAAUCACCUAAAAUGUUUGGUGGAUUCCAAAUUCGAUCAUACUCGUCAUCCGGAUGCCUGACAGCUGAAAUUAUUCCAAAAGAAAUCCUAUAUUGCAAGAACAAAGCAACAUUUUUAUCAGCACGAGCAGCAUACAUCUCAUCUCUGUAGCCAAACUCCUCACUUCAAGUGCUGACAUGAAGGGAAACUGGCCAGUUUUCAUCCGCGCUACGCACACACUUAUAGCAUCCCCUUUAACAUAGUAAAUAGCC
rnacentral:misc_RNA from 1 species